rnacentral:snRNA from 1 species
UAACUCUGGUUUCCCUUCAAAACGCAUAAAUCUUUCGCCUUUUACUAAAGGUUUCCGUGGAGGGGAACAACUUAGUGUCUUAUUCAAUUUUAUUCUAUAGCCCACUUUGGUGGGUUC